rnacentral:rRNA from 1 species
UACGUAGGUGGCAAGCGUUGUCCGGAUUUACUGGGCGUAAAGAGCGCGCAGGCGGUCGGAUAAGUCGAAUGUGAAAGCCCCCGGCUCAACUGGGGAGGGUCACGCGAUACUGAUCGACUGGAAGGCAGGAGAGGGUAGUGGAAUUCCUGGUGCAGCGGUGAAAUGCGCAGAUAUCAGGAGGAACACCAGCGGCGAAGGCGCUGCUCUGGGCCGGUACUGACGCUGAGGAGCGAAAGCGUGGGGAGCGAACAGG